CCUACGGGAGGCAGCAGUGAGGAAUAUUGGUCAAUGGGCGCGAGCCUGAACCAGCCAAGUCGCGUGAGGGAAGACGGCCCUACGGGUUGUAAACCUCUUUUGCCGGGGAGCAACGGGCGCCACGUGUGGCGCCACUGAGAGUACCUGGAGAAAAAGCAUCGGCUAACUCCGUGCCAGCAGCCGCGGUAAUACGGAGGAUGCGAGCGUUAUCCGGUUUUAUUGGGUUAAAAGGGUGCGUAGGCGGAGCGUUAAGUCAGUGGUCAAUUUGAGGGGCUCAACCCCUUCCCGCCAUUGAAACUGGCGCACUAGAGUGGAAGAGAAGUAUGCGGAAUGCGUGGUGUAGCGGUGAAAUGCAUAGAUAUCACGCAGAACCCCGAUUGCGAAGGCAGCAUGCCGGCUUCCAACUGACGCUGAGGAACGAAAGCGUGGGGAGCGAACAGGAUUAGAUACCCCAGUAGUC
rnacentral:rRNA from 1 species